UGAGGAAUAUUGGACAAUGGGCGCAAGCCUGAUCCAGCCAUGCCGCGUGCAGGAAGAAGCAUCUAUGGUGUGUAAACUGCUUUUGUACGGGAAGAAACACUCCCUCGUGAAGGAGCUUGACGGUACCGUAAGAAUAAGGAUCGGCUAACUCCGUGCCAGCAGCCGAGGUAAUACGGAGGAUCCAAGCGUUAUCCGGAAUCAUUGGGUCUAAAGGGUCCGUAGGCGGUUUAGUAAGUCAGUGGUGAAAGCCCAUCGCUCAACGAUGGAACGGCCAUGGAUACUGCUAGGCUUGAAUGAGUAGGAAGUAACUGGAAUAUGUAGUGUAGGGGUGAAAUGCUUAGAUAUUACAAGGAAUACCGAGUGCGAAGGCGGCUUACGACUGGUGGAUUGACGCUGAUGGGCGAAGGCGUGGGGAGCGAACA
rnacentral:rRNA from 1 species